ACACACAGACAGACAGACAGACACACACACACACACAGAUUUAAGACUGUUGCUGAUAUAAAACACCACCACCAAAGCAACUUGUAGAAGGAAGUUUACUUGGGGCUCCGGGAGGCAGAGGGUUGACUCCAUCGCCACCGUGGAGGGAAUGGUGGCAGCGGGCACACUUGUGGUGCUGGGCAGCAGCCGAGAGCUCACACCUGCACUCACAGACCAGAGACAAAGAGAGGACCCGUGGCUUCCUCUCUCAAGGCCCACCUCCCCCCCUUUCUCCACCCUUUCCCAGCCCAGGAGGGUGUCUAGGCACCGCCCUUGAUCCAGAGCCCUGGGACCGAACGCCACAGUGUUUGCAUAAUGAGGUGGGGCUGAACUGUGCUCGCCAUCAGGUUCUGCGGUCGAGUAUUAUUUUCAGGUGUGUGGCUUUUGUUGAUGCUGCAUUUGUGAAACUCCGUGAAGCUGUGUUACUGUGUGUCUAUAACACCUGGCGGUCUUAAAGAGCUGAACGGUCGGUCAGUAGCGAGGCAGGAGCAAGGACGGGCAGGGCUGGCAGGCAGAGAGUGUAAACAGCCGGAGAACGGAGGAAGAGCCGCACAGCCGCACAGCCGCACAGCCGCACAGCCGCACAGCCGCACAGCCAUCCAGGGAGUAAGAUUUGCAGAAGUAGAGCAGGAAAAGCCCAGAGGCAAAAGGUGGAUGGGAUAACAAAGAUAAGCUAAGGCCAGGCACUCGUAACUAAUACCGAGUCUCCGUGUGUGAUUUACUUGGGAGCUGGGUGGCGGGUUCCUCCAAAGGAGAAAACAACUUACUUCAGGGUUCUGUGAACUGCCCUGGGCUACUAGAUACACAGGUCCCCACUGCCCUGCCAUCUCCCCGCACGCACACACCCGACCUGCCCUUGACCUCUGCCUGGCUCCUGUCGCCUGCUCCUGGAAACCCGGAGUGCUGAGGAGUGCUGAACCCUAUUUGAAGUGGAGUCCAUGGGACGCUUCCAAGAUGCUCCUGCUGGUUCCCUGGAAUCCAAGCUCAGAGCUGCUAAGUGCAACCUCAGAAGAGCCUUGCUGUGCCUCUUGGGAAGACCUGCGCAGCAUUGCAUGGGUCAGCCAUAGCCACCCCCGCCCCCGCUAAACCUCCUAGCAGACAAAUUGACCUAGAGCCAUGGUUCUCCAAGCUGUGUAGACUCUAAUGAGCCAGGAUCCGGACCAAUGAAUUCAGAGGGAAAAUUGAACAGGGAUCUUUUUUUUUUAGGGGACAUUUUAGUUAAUAGAACUUUCUAGCUCCACAGGUGCCAGGGCUUGUAAUCCCAGCUGCUUGGGAAGCUGAGGCAAGUUCAAGGCCAGCUCCAACAAUUUCCCUUACAAAUGUUUGAGCUGGAUGAGAAUACCAGAGAACUGUCUGCACUGCGGGGCAAAUCGACAGGACCCCAGGAUGGCCCCGGAACCCAGCCUCACAGCGAGCUCAUCAGGGCUGCUCCUGGAGUCAUGCCCGCACUCAAGGCCCUAGUACCUGCCACGGUGGGACUUACGGGUUCUCAACAGCUGCUGUCGCCAACAUUUUGAUAAAUGUCUUAGGAAACGGAACUAUUUUAAGGGGUAAGAAUCAAAGCAGAACGUGGUAUCAGAGUGCCCAAGGGUGGCAGUGGAGCCUGAGGCUUCCGGCGACUGGAGUGGGCACAAGCCAACAUCCUGAGACCUAAAGGCAACUCUAGCUUCAUGGGCUGGAGAGGAAGACCAGGUUGCUGGAUCUGAGGGAUGAAGGUGACGGCUCUAACUGGAUCUGUGAUGUAAACUCAGGGUCACCCAGCUGUCCCCAGAUGUCUUGCCUACAUCCUUGGCUUAAACGCUGCCAUCCUGACCUCAGGACAUCUGUCUGUGGUGCUGUCUCCUCUGAGGUCUGAAGACCUGGCGGGGGAGGGAGAGCGGGGGAGGAUGACAGGUCUGUCUUGUCCACACCGACGUCCGCAACACCAGGCGACACUCUCCACAUGCAGGUGUUAUGAAUGGUGUUGGACAGCAUGGACUUCCCGUCACACGACACGUCGUGACAUCUCUGGUCAGGGAGUCCCCUUCCACGGUGUCACCUGCCUGUUUGUGCCCCUGGGCCUGAGCGUUUGCAUCCAGAUGGGCUGUUCACUCAUGCUGCUGUUCAAGCCCAAGGCAAGCAGGACAGGCACGGUGGGUAUGGAGCAGGGAGAAAGGUCUCACCCGGCCCUGUAACACCUGGCGCUCCAGCAAGCCUCCUGUUGGUCCCGUGUGCUACCCACGCGUGUAAACUUGCCUCUGCUCUCCCUGAACCAAGAUUUAAAAGAGGCAAAGUAUUAACACACGUUUCAGGGCUAGAUAAUUUCUGCUGCAGCUGGGAAGAUAGUGGCUGUGAGGACAAGAGACAGCUUGCAGUAAUCUGGGGACCCAAAAAAUACCCAGGAAGGGAAACGGCAAGAGACAGAUAGGAUGGGGGGACCACGGAAACCUAGACUCACUGUCACUGUUUGAAUGUGAACUGACCAUGUCCCAUGGACUCCUGUUUGAACAUUUGGUGGCCUGCUGACAGUGCUAUUCUGGGAAGCAGGGGAGCCUUUGUGAGGUGGGCCUGGAAGUAUUUUUGGUUGUUGUUAUUUGGAGACAGGGUUUCACUCUAUAGCCUUGGCUCUCCUGGAACUUGAUCUCUAGACCAGACUGAUCUUGAGCUGAGAGAUCCACCACCUCUGCCUCACGAGUACUGGGAUUAAAGACGUGCGCCAUCAGGCCUAGCCCGUUUCGACUUAUUUGCUGCUGCUGCAAUGUGGCCAUCCCAAGCUUCCACUGCCACAGAAGCCACGGGUCACAUCUUCCCGCCAGGACAGACUGUGCUGUCUGGAACCACUAGGUAAAAUCGGCUCCUCCCCCUGACUGCUCCUGUCAGAUACCUUGUGGUCAUUAAAACUCAUGCUGUGA